AUAGAGCAACAGCUUCUAUGCGGUUUCUUGUUAGCCCCGGUAAUCUUUUCGGACUCGCCAAAGUUGAAGAAGAUUAUCGGGGUUUUCGCUU
rnacentral:antisense_RNA from 1 species